AUUUUUAAGUUUUUAUUAAGUAAAAUUUUAAGGCAAACAUUACAGAACUAGCGAAAUAAAGAAUUUAUGUAUUUUUCAGGGUGAAUUUCCAUACCCUAGUACUUCUUCAUGGACUAAUUCUGAGUUGGGUAUACCCGCGGUGAAAGAAUAAAGAGCAGGACAUUCAUACUUCAAGAGUUUCGUUAAGUUAAAUAUUACAGUUUUGAUGGAAUGUAAAAUGAAAAAUGUAUACAACUUCAAAAAUAACAAAUUAUUUUAUUUUCUUAGUCGCCUUGUACGAAACGGGUUAUAAUGUCAUGUUACUACGCCCGGCAUGACAUCUUCUAGUUAUUUUAGUCAACAAAGUAUUUAUCCUUUAAAUGAAAAUUUUUUUCUUAACAGUUGAGAUGUGCUGUUUUUCGGAAGUUUAUUGCAUUUUUUAUAUUACUCUAGUUACCGAAGUUGUUUUUCCUUUGAAUGAAAACUCUGUUUUCUUAACAAUGAAGGUGUGCUGUUUGUUUGUCGGAAUAAAUAUGCAAAUAGUAUGUUCGUUCACAGUACUAAACGCGUUUUUCCUCUAGCGCUUUAAAGAUCCACUGGAUCGCGCAGGUUAAUUGGGGAAAAGGUUGACAAGUAAGUAUCAGGGAUAAAGGGAUGCCCAACUUAUUCCAGUGUGAAAGCGCCUCAAAAUAAGCGGUUUUUAAAUAAAUUUCCAUUGUAGCCAGAUCGGGCAAAAUAAUAAUUUUUGGGCAUUUAAAUUAAAACACUCAACAUUUAUUACAAUUAAUUUUUUUUUAUAUUGGACUUCUAAUAUACCGCAAAACAAUUUAAAUCUUAUUUAUGAUUUAAUGGUAUAUUAAAACAACUAACUUUUGAACUUCCAAUACUUAAUAAGGUGAAUUAAAAAUGCUAGUACUCAACUAAUAAAUGUUUUUAAUCAUUGGUAAUUGAAAAUUUAUAUUUCUAUGCAUCACAUUACAAAACGUGUCAUGAAAUAUGCUUAGAUUUCCCAUUAUCUUUAGUUUUCAUUGUUUUAAAUUUUUUUAUUAGCGAUCUUGAACGGCGGCAACAAAUCCCUCCGUUCGCAUAUCUUUUCGUUGUAAUUUGGAUCUGGUCGUUCCAGUCAAUCCAAUUGCAAAACUCCAAAACCUACCAGAUCCAGUGUCAAAGUUUGGUCGGUGAGCGGUUAUGAUUCAGCAUUUAAAAUUGAAACACGCAGGGAAGGCUGCGCCCCUAAAGUAAAUAAAAACAUUCUCUGUAUUUAUAUUUAUGUAAAUAAUUAUCAUUAAGCGAAUUUGGCACCACUUGAAAACUGUUGGCAGCUGUAACACUAACAACAGUGGACUGGCCAGCACGAGCCAGAAAUCAGUAGCAAGGCACAAUCAGCUCAAUAUUAAUUCGGCUUUUUUCAAAUGUGCGAAGUUUUGCAUCAAAUGAUUUCAAAAAUGCAAAAUUGACGCAAUGAAUAGUUAAAAUAAUUGCAUGGAUGCCAUUUUUACAUGAACAAGCAAUGUACCUAUUCUUACCAUUCUUAUUUUUUGCAUUGUAGCAACUCCUUCAUAUUUCGUUGAAAGUUUCUUCAGUUGAAGCAACACAUCACAUUUUCGGAUGUCUCGUGAAACAUUUGCUGGAUUAAAUAACGGCUUGGAACCUUUUUGGUUAACGUCACGCGGUAAAUAUUCGAUCGAUUAUGCUGAGUAACAGUAGAGUCACUUAAGGCGAACGAACUAUCAGAUAAAUUUGAUGUUUCAAAAGGGACUGCCCACAAAAUUUUGAUUAAAACAAUCAAAGCGAUUUGCAAGCUGAAAAAUGAAAUUUGUUGGCCAUUGGAAUGGUUAAUCUCCCAGGGAGCUGCCAUGACGCCAACGAAUGAAAAAAUAGUCAGAUAUACCAUACAUACGAAGAAAUUAAAUCUGGGGAGAUACAGCAUGCAAGGGAUGAUAUUAUUUAAGCCGACUCAGCUUAUCCUCUUUUAAAAUAUUUGAUCCUGCCUUAUAGAUAUAAUGAGUAUCUCUUGAGAGAGAAGAAACCAUUUUAUUAUUAUUAAAGUUCAACUCGAGUAUUCAUAGAACAAGCUUUUGGGAUUUUGAGGCGAAAUUUUUUGAAUCAUAAUGAUAUUCAAAUUACACUAACCGACAAUGGAUUUUGCUCUGAAAUAAAAAUUAUAUAUUUUGGUUCCUGCUAGUAUGUAUAUCAUUAGAAAAAUAA